UACGUAGGGUGCAAGCGUUGUCCGGAAUUAUUGGGCGUAAAGAGCUCGUAGGCGGUUUGUUGCGUCGGCUGUGAAAUCCCGAGGCUCAACCUCGGGUCUGCAGUCGAUACGAGCAAACUAGAGUGUUGCAGGGGAGACUGGAAUUCCUGGUGUAGCGGUGAAAUGCGCAGAUAUCAGGAGGAACACCGGUGGCGAAGGCGGGUCUCUGGGCCGAUACUGACGCUGAGGAGCGAAAGCGUGGGGGAGCAAACAGG
rnacentral:rRNA from 1 species